rnacentral:rRNA from 1 species
AGUGAACGCUGGCGAUAGGCCUAACACAUGCAAGUCGAACGGCAGCACAGUAAGGGCUUGCUCUUACGGGUGGCGAGUGGCGGACGGGUGAGGAAUACAUCGGAAUCUACUUUUUCGUGGGGGAUAACGUAGGGAAACUUACGCUAAUACCGCAUACGACCUACGGGUGAAAGCAGGGGAUCUUCGGACCUUGCGCGAUUGAAUGAGCCGAUGUCGGAUUAGCUAGUUGGCGGGGUAAAGGCCCACCAAGGCGACGAUCCGUAGCUGGUCUGAGAGGAUGAUCAGCCACACUGGAACUGAGACACGGUCCAGACUCCUACGGGAGGCAGCAGUGGGGAAUAUUGGACAAUGGGCGCAAGCCUGAUCCAGCCAUACCGCGUGGGUGAAGAAGGCCUUCGGGUUGUAAAGCCCUUUUGUUGGGAAAGAAAAGCAGCAGGUUAAUACCCCGCUGCUCUGACGGUACCCAAAGAAUAAGCACCGGCUAACUUCGUG